UUACGAUUGAAUAGGAGGGAAAGACAAGAACACAGAUAACAAAACAUCAGUCCAUCAGGACAGGCAGACACCGUGAGCUCCUUUCCCUGAGUCCCGGGUGACCGGACGAGAGGUGUGCUACAGGAGGAAUGAUGUGGAAGGCUCGUGCCAACGGACUGCUGGGGAAGAGACAGGAGAAGGGACCUGGCUUGGUGACGUUACCAUGGCAGUUGAGGACGUGAUGGCAGCCCAAGCGGGGGUGAGAGGAAGGCAAACCGAAAGGAGGAGGAUGGAUGUGAGAGCAAGCACAGGCGAUGGAUUAUGUGCAGUUGGAAACUGUCACACUAAUCAUCAGAGUCAUCCAGCCCUAGGCAACCUGGACCCCAGCGCUCCUAGUUACUGGGAAAAAGAAGAAGCAGAGAAGUGAUUUUGGAACAAGGAAACAAAUGGAAGAGCCUCUGGGAGAGGCCCUCUGUGGCCCCAUGUAUGGGGAAGAGCAGCAGAAUGCAGACCACCACAU